GACGAACGCUGGCGGCGUGCUUAACACAUGCAAGUCGAACGGAAAGGCCCUGCUUGCAGGGUACUCGAGUGGCGAACGGGUGAGUAACACGUGGGUGAUCUGCCCUGCACUUCGGGAUAAGCCUGGGAAACUGGGUCUAAUACCGGAUAGGAGCCAUUUUUAGUGUGAUGGUUGGAAAGUUUUUUCGGUGUAGGAUGAGGUCGCGGCCUAUCAGCUUGUUGGUGGGGUAAUGGCCUACCAAGGCGGCGACGGGUAGCCGGCCUGAGAGGGUGGACGGCCACAUUGGGACUGAGAUACGGCCCAGACUCCGACGGGAGGCAGCAGUGGGGAAUAUUGCACAAUGGGCGCAAGCCUGAUGCAGCGACGCCGCGUGGGGGAUGACGGCCUUCGGGUUGUAAACUCCUUUCGCUAGGGACGAAGCUUUUUGUGACGGUACCUAGAUAAGAAGCACCGGCUAACUACGUG
rnacentral:rRNA from 1 species